rnacentral:rRNA from 1 species
GACGAACGCUGGCGGCGUGCUUAACACAUGCAAGUCGAACGAAGUGGCGAACGGUUGCGUACUACGUUGGUAACCUGCCCUCCUUUUUGGGAUAAGCCUUGGAAACUUUUUCUAAUACCGAAUACAGGUGGAUGGGCUCGCGGCCUAUCAGCUUGUUGGUGGGUUGAGGGGCUACCAAGGCGGUGACGGGUAGCCGGCCUGAGAGGGUGACCGGCCACAUGGGGACGGAGAGACGGCCCAGACUCGUACGGGGGGGAGCAGUGGGGGAUAUUGCAGAAUGGGCGAAAGCCUGAUGCAGCGACGCCGAGUGGGGGAUGAAGGCUUUCGGGUUGUAAACCUAGGUCGAGAUCGAAAGGGUAGGUGGAGAAGAAGCGACGGCUAACUCCGUGCCAGCAGCCGCGGUAAUUC